UUGAACGCUGGCGGCAGGCCUAACACAUGCACGUCGAGCGGAUGAAGGGAGCUUGCUCCUGGAUUCAGCGGCGGACGGGUGAGUAAUGCCUAGGAAUCUGCCUGGUAGUGGGGGAUAACGUCCGGAAACGGGCGCUAAUACCGCAUACGUCCUGAGGGAGAAAGUGGGGGAUCUUCGGACCCCACGCUAUCAGAUGAGCCUAGGUCGGAUUAGCUAGUUGGUGGGGUAAAGGCCUACCAAGGCGACGAUCCGUAACUGGUCUGAGAGGAUGAUCAGUCACACUGGAACUGAGACACGGUCCAGACUCCUACGGGAGGCAGCAGUGGGGAAUAUUGGACAAUGGGCGAAAGCCUGAUCCAGCCAUGCCGCGUGUGUGAAGAAGGUCUUCGGAUUGUAAAGCACUUUAAGUUGGGAGGAAGGGCAGUAAGUUAAUACCUUGCUGUUUUGACGUUACCAACAGAAUAAGCACCGGCUAACUUCGUG
rnacentral:rRNA from 1 species